GAUGAACGCUGGCGGCGUGCCUAAUACAUGCAAGUCGAGCGAACGGACGAGAAGCUUGCUUCUCUGAUGUUAGCGGCGGACGGGUGAGUAACACGUGGAUAACCUACCUAUAAGACUGGGAUAUCUUGGGGAAACCGGAUCUAAUACCGGAUAAUAUCUUGAAACGCGUGGUUCAAAAGUGAAAGACGGUCUUGCUGUCACUUAUAGAUGGAUCCGCGCUGCAUUAGCUAGUUGGUAAGGUAACGGCUUACCAAGGCAACGAUGCAUAGCCGACCUGAGAGGGUGAUCGGCCACACUGGAACUGUGACACGGUCCAGACUCCUACGGGAGGCAGCAGUAGGGAAUCUUCCGCAAUGGGCGAAAGCCUGACGGAGCAACGCCGCGUGAGUGAUGAAGGUCUUCGGAUCGUAAAACUCUGUUAUUAGGGAAGAACAUAUGUGUAAGUAACUGUGCACAUCUUGACGGUACCUAAUCAGAAAGCCACGGCUAACUACGUG
rnacentral:rRNA from 1 species